GAUGAACGCUGGCGGCGUGCCUAAUACAUGCAAGUCGAGCGAACAGAUAAGGAGCUUGCUCCUUUGACGUUAGCGGCGGACGGGUGAGUAACACGUGGGUAACCUACCUAUAAGACUGGGAUAACUUCGGGAAACCGGAGCUAAUACCGGAUAAUAUUUCGAACCGCAUGGUUCGAUAGUGAAAGAUGGUUUUGCUAUCACUUCUAGAUGGACCCGCGCCGUAUUGGCUAGUUGGUAAGGUAACGGCUUACCAAGGCGACGAUACGUAGCCGACCUGAGAGGGUGAUCGGCCACACUGGAACUGAGACACGGUCCAGACUCCUACGGGAGGCAGCAGUAGGGAAUCUUCCGCAAUGGGCGAAAGCCUGACGGAGCAACGCCGCGUGAGUGAUGAAGGUCUUCGGAUCGUAAAACUCUGUUAUUAGGGAAGAACAUACGUGUAAGUAACUGUGCACGUCUUGACGGUACCUAAUCAGAAAGCCACGGCUAACUACGUG
rnacentral:rRNA from 1 species